UACGGGAGGCAGCAGUGGGGGAAUAUUGCACAAUGGGCGCAAGCCUGAUGCAGCCAUGCCGCGUGUAUGAAGAAGGCCUUCGGGUUGUAAAGUACUUUCAGUCGUGAGGAAGGUGUUAAGGUUAAUAACCUUAGCAAUUGACGUUAGCGACAGAAGAAGCACCGGCUAACUCCGUGCCAGCAGCCGCGGUAAUACGGAGGGUGCGAGCGUUAAUCGGAAUUACUGGGCGUAAAGGGCACGCAGGCGGUUAAUUAAGUUGGAUGUGAAAUCCCCGGGCUUAACCUGGGAAUGGCAUUCAAGACUGGUUAGCUAGAGUCUUGUAGAGGGGGUAGAAUUCCAUGUGUAGCGGUGAAAUGCGUAGAGAUGUGGAGGAAUACCGGUGGCGAGGCGGCCCCUGGACAAAGACUGACGCUCAUGUGCGAAAGCGUGGGGAGCAAACAGGGAUUAGAUACC
rnacentral:rRNA from 1 species